rnacentral:rRNA from 1 species
AGCGAACGCUGGCGGCAGGCCUAACACAUGCCAGUCGAACGAACUCUUCGGAGUUAGUGGCGGACGGGUGAGUAACACGUGGGAACGUGCCUUUAGGUUCGGAAUAACUCAGGGAAACUUGUGCUAAUACCGAAUGUGCCCUUCGGGGGAAAGAUUUAUCGCCUUUAGAGCGGCCCGCGUCUGAUUAGCUAGUUGGUGAGGUAAAGGCUCACCAAGGCGACAAUCAGUAGCUGGUCUGAGAGGAUGAUCAGCCACAUUGGGACUGAGACACGGCCCAAACUCCUACGGGAGGCAGCAGUGGGGAAUCUUGCGCAAUGGGCGAAAGCCUGACGCAGCCAUGCCGCGUGAAUGAUGAAGGUCUUAGGAUUGUAAAAUUCUUUCACCGGGGACGAUAAUGACGGUACCCGGAGAAGAAGCCCCGGCUAACUUCGUG